UGGGCUCUGUUUGGCAAGGCCAAGCAUUAGCGGACCCCACCCGGCCGCACGAUAUCCCACCCGGAUGCGCGAGCCAUACUCCUCUGCAGCGGGUGUGUCCCUCUGGCUAACCAAAUUAGGCCCCUUCUGGGUCCAUCACAGCUGCCAGAAGGGACAGGGCCCACAUCAGCAGCCCACAGCUUCAUUGAGCUGUGCCCAGUUCCAUCCUGCCCUACGCCUCUGGCCGCUCAGCACUUACGGAGGCUCAUAGUUGCACACCAGCAAAUGGAUGUUAGCUUCUUCCACUCCCUGGAGCGUCUCGCAGAAGUGGGAGCCACAGCCAAUUCUCUCAGUCUUGCUCCACACUACCUAAAUGAGGGAAAACCUAGCAGCCCUUAGGCAGCCUUAGGAGGCCUCACAAGAGAGCUCGCCGCCCCACCUCUGCCCGCCCGCCUGCCCAGACUGUCACCUGAGUGUAGUGGCCGCACAUCUGGUUCGGAUCGCAGGUGGCCGUGCUGAAAUUGUAAUACUCAUGCUCCUCGUGCCAGUUCCCCACGGCCAGCGGCACGUCCAUGCCCUCGUCCGUGAUGGCAAACAAGUUCUCUCCGCGCCGCCCGCGUUCUUUGUUGUGGCCCCACACGCACUUCUGAGCGUAGGCCUUGGCGAAGGCGGCCAGCUCGUCAUCCCACCUCUGCAGGGACGCAAGGGAGGCAAGACAGGGAGGUGAGACUCCUGCGAAGGGCAGUUUUGCUUAGAGAGCCUCCGAGGUUCCUUGUCCUUGGCUGGGAGAAGACGGAGCAAGUGUGCAGCAUGAGAGGGGAACUUAAGGCAUCUGACCCCAAGGACUAAGGAGGAAGACCUGGAUCCCAUUAAACUCCGAUGCCUGCUGUGGCUCUUGUUCCACCAACUUGACAGCCCCACCAAAAGCAGCAGCAGAAGCUUGGGGUGUCAUUGCGGGGAGAACUGUGUGACCAUGCCCACUUCCCACCCGCUCAGUGCUUUAGCUUCCUGCAACCCUCGUGGGAUCCUGAAUGGGGACAGUACCAGGGCUGUGCCUUGAUGAGAUGUUCUCUCUCUCUCUCUCUCUCUCUCUCUCUCUCUGGUCAUUUUAAAAAAUUAAUUCUGCACUUACUUUUAGGUAUGUGCGAAUGCAGGUGCACGCCUAACAGUGCCUGCACGAAAGAGGACAGCCUCUGGGGAGGGAACUCAGCUCCUCUGAGUUGCUUGGCCAGGUGUUUUGAGGAACACCUGGCUAGCCCCACUUUGGUCAUUUUAUUUCAAAUCACUGGUCUGGGUGGUCCCCUAGACUCUGACAACAGUGGGCAGUUGGGAGCAGAAAUGGGGAUCAGGGGGUCUAGGGUGAUCCACAGGACCCCGGGAUAGACAGAUAGGCUCCAUUCUAGGACAGGUAGUAACAUCAUUUCCAUUGUCACAGUGCUGGGUGUUAUGGGUACUCCCCCACCCCCCAGCUGAGGACCUCCCCGAAGCUGAGGACUGAACCCAGGGCCUUGUGCUUGCUAGGCAAGUGCUCUACUACUGAGCUAAAUCCCCACCCCAGUGGGUACUUUUUAAUAGAUGGUUAUGAUUGAAAGACCAGCUCAAAGUAGCCCCAGCUCUAACCUCUAAGCUGAGUCUACGCCUGAAGUCCCAGCGGGACUUACAGUUUGUGGUGUUGCAACCUCUCUCCCUAGAAGUAGGUCUGUCCACUCUGUCCUUCAGUAGUCCUGGUCACUAAGCCAGAAUGAAAGCAAGAACCAAGAACCCCAAGUUCGUUAGUCACUCAGGGAGUGUGGCCACUGUAAUCAGUGCCACAGGUAACUGGGUCCUGUGGGACAUGGGAAGACUGUGUAGGCAGACUGAGGGUGGAGAUAGAGAUUGGGCUAAACGACCAGGUGCUAACCAGGUGGGGGACACCCUGAGCAAAGUCACCAGGGGCAGCAGGGCUUGCUCCAUCUGUGGCGAGACCACCACCACCACCACCACCACCACCCCACCACCCCGCAGGUAGAAGUGCUACUUAGUAUCUAGGCUUCUAAUUUGUCUGCAGUUCCUGGUUGCCAAGGGCAACAGGAGUGGUGCCGUGAUCAUUUCCCACAGUCAUCCAAUCUGACCUGAAGGGCAAGGAUGUCAGUACCUAACUGUCCACCAGGAAAAGGCUCCCCACAGAGUCACCAAGCCCCAGGGGACAAGCUGAGGCUAAGAGCUAAAUGUCAGGAUCCCUGGUUCCCUGCUGUAUUUCCCAGGUGUGACCUAGCCCUUAGCUCAGGGGUUCCUGGCCACUGGAGGGUGUCUGGGAGUGGGGUGGACCAGUCAGACUUCAGAGAGGACAGAAUGGGAGUGAUUCUAACUCUUAUCAGCUGAAACCAGAGCAGACAUCCUGCCUCCACCCUGCCAUCUGAUAAUAAAUGUUCUUUUCGCCAGAUUGGCCACCGGCACCCAGCCUCGGCCUCCACUGUCUGUGCAUUCCUCUCACUGUUGUGUAGAUAAUUUGUAUGUGUGUUAUAUAUGUGCUUUUUAUAUUUCACCGCAUGUAGUAUUACAUGUGUGCGAGUCAGCCCAUGCGUGUGGGUGUGCUUGUGACCCCAUUUUACCGACGAGACACUGAGAGAGUCCACAUGGUUACAGG